GGGGGGAGCACUGGAUCCUGGGCUGUGUCCCCUGGCGCCCUGAGUUCCAGGGCCUGCGCUGCUGAAAUCGUGCUCCCAGGCUGCGCUGCCCUCU
rnacentral:pre_miRNA from 1 species